rnacentral:rRNA from 1 species
CAGUCGCCACGGGAAUACGGAGGGUGCAAGCGUUAAUCGGAAUUACUGGGCGUAAAGCGCACGCAGGCGGUCUGACAAGUCAGAUGUGAAAUCCCCGGGCUUAACCUGGGAACUGCAUUUGAAACUGUCAGGCUGGAGUCUUGUAGAGGGGGGUAGAAUUCCAGGUGUAGCGGUGAAAUGCGUAGAGAUCUGGAGGAAUACCGGUGGCGAAGGCGGCCCCCUGGACAAAGACUGACGCUCAGGUGCGAAAGCGUGGGGAGCAAACAGGAUUAGAUACCCCUGUAGUCCCUGUCUCUUAUAU